UACAGAGGUCUCAAGCGUUGUUCGGAUUCAUUGGGCGUAAAGCGCGUGUAGGCGGCCUAGUGUGUCGGGCGUGAAAUCCCACGGCUCAACCGUGGAAGUGCACUCGAAACUGCAAGGCUGGAGUACUGGAGAGGAUGGUAGAAUGCUCGGUGUAGAGGUGAAAUUCGUAGAUAUCGAGCGGAAUACCGGUGGCGAAGGCGGCCAUCUGGACAGUCACUGACGCUGAGACGCGAAAGCGUGGGGAGCAAACAGG
rnacentral:rRNA from 1 species